rnacentral:misc_RNA from 1 species
AAAAUGGUGAAUGUAGCAGAUGAGUAUUACAGCAGUAACAAUCAUGGUAUAUACACCCGCCCUGCCACGGCCCCCCAAAGCCCAAAGAAGGAAAGAAGGCAGUAUGUAGUAAAUAAAAAUGGGAAAGAAGGUUUUUCCUUCUAAAUACUCUUCAAAACAAGCAUUUUGAAGGUGCACCAUAUAAGAUAGGCAGUUGCUUCUCUACUUGGUCAACAUCAAAGCAAACUAAAGAACCAAGAUGCUGCACAAAAUAGUGAUAAGAAUGAGAGACUACAUGAAUACGUGCUUAUGCAAUAAUGCAUAUAUUUCA